AAAAUUUUGUUUUAGAUGUAUGUAUAGAUAUGUAUUGCAAGAAAUAGAUAGGUUCCUUUCUCUAACAUUUCACAUAGUUCAGCCUACACAAGUUAAUGUGUGCAAAACAAAUUAGGAAUUUUGAAUGCAAUCAUUUUUAAACAUAAAAUG